GUGGGGAAUUUUGGACAAUGGGCGCAAGCCUGAUCCAGCAAUGCCGCGUGUGUGAUGAAGGCCUUCGGGUUGUAAAGCACUUUUGGUAGGAACGAAACGGUCCGGGCUAAUACCCUGGACUAAUGACGGUACCUGCAGAAUAAGCACCGGCUAACUACGUGCCAGCAGCCGCGGUAAUACGUAGGGUGCAAGCGUUAAUCGGAAUUACUGGGCGUAAAGCGUGCGCAGGCGGGUUUGCAAGACCGAUGUGAAAUCCCCGGGCUCAACCUGGGAACGGCAUUGGUGACUGCAAGGCUAGAGUGUGUCAGAGGGAGGUGGAAUUCCGCGUGUAGCAGUGAAAUGCGUAGAUAUGCGGAGGAACACCGAUGGCGAAGGCAGCCUCCUGGGAUAACACUGACGCUCAUGCACGAAAGCGUGGGGAGCAAACAGGAUUAGAUACCCCGGUAGUCC
rnacentral:rRNA from 1 species